UACAGAGGUCUCAAGCGUUGUUCGGAUUCAUUGGGCGUAAAGGGUGCGUAGGCGGCGCGGUAAGUCGGGUGUGAAAUCUUGGAGCUUAACUCCGAAACUGCAUUCGAUACUGCCGUGCUUGAGGACUGGAGAGGAGACUGGAAUUUACGGUGUAGCGGUGAAAUGCGUAGAUAUCGUAAGGAAGACCAGUGGCGAAGGCGGCUCACUGGCCCGGUACUGACGCUGAGGCACGAAAGCGUGGGGAGCAAACAGG
rnacentral:rRNA from 1 species